AACGACUCUCGGCAACGGAUAUCUCGGCUCUCGCAUCGAUGAAGAACGUAGCGAAAUGCGAUACUUGGUGUGAAUUGCAGAAUCCCGUGAACCAUCGAGUCUUUGAACGCAAGUUCGCCUUAGGCCAUUAGACCGAGGGCACGUCUGCCUGGGCGUCACGC
rnacentral:rRNA from 1 species